CCGGUCAUUUGUUAUAGAAAUAGGAGGAGGUAGGCUAUAGCGUAGUUUUUAUCUGCCUCGAGUCGCAGCUGCACCGUCUCCUGGCUGAUCAAGGCGUUUCUGCACCGGCUCGUCCUUUUAGAAUGGAGACUCUGUGUACAGAGAAAACACCUGAACCAGGUGCAUUCCUGGAUAUUCUGGAGGAGAGGAGAAGGACCAGUGACAUAAGCCAUGCCCUAAGAACCUUUUCUCCCCAGCCUUAUAAAGGACAUCCACCUAUCACAGCUAGUGCUCUAAACCAAGCAGUACUGGACUCGCAGCACUUGCACUCUAUUGUAGAGGAGAUUGCCACAGAAAGUGGAGAACCUGUGGAGGUCAUCAGAGAGAAGGCUUCUGGGAUACUCAAUGAGAUGUCACACAAUCUGCAGCUCAGCUCUAUUCGACUGUUAGGAUACACACUCAGCAAGGUGUUCAAAAGAGCCUUCCAUACAGUCCUGGUGAAUGAGGAUGGCCUGAACCAGCUUCGACAGGCCAUUCAGGAGCACCCAGUCAUCUUGUUGCCCAAUCAUAGGAGCUAUAUGGACUUCCUGGUUCUUUCUUACAUCAUGUUCACCUAUGACCUCUCCAUGCCUGUCAUUGCUGCAGGAAUUGCUCUCAUGGACAUGAUGUUCUUUGCUCCAUUACUGCGGCGUUCUGGAGCAUUUUUUAUCCGUCGGGCAAUCAGGGCAGAUAAGCUCUACUGGGCAGUGCUGUCAGAGUAUGUCAGAACCAUUGUGAGGACUGGUUAUGCCCCUGUGGAGUUCUACAUUGAAGGAUAUCGGAGUCGAACACUGAAGUCUCUGAAUCCCAAAUUGGGUAUGAUUCACAUGGUUCUGGAGCCUUUUUUUAAUGGUGAGGUGGAUGACAUCAGCCUGGUGCCAAUCAGCAUCAGUUAUGAUCGGGUAAUUGAAGAGUCUCUACUGGCCCAUGAACUGCUGGGAUUUCCCAAACCAAAAGAGUCCACUAUGGGUCUCCUAAAAGCUUGGAAUGUUCUGGCAAAUGAUAACGGCUCCAUGCAUGUGUGUUUUGGUCAGCCCAUCUCUGUCAGAGAGCUUGCUAAGGGGAGGAUCAACUUUUCGCAGCAUAACCAAGUACCCAGAGAAAUGCCUCAGAAUCCCAGUGAGGAGACUCAGGAGUUUGUGAGCGUCAUGGGCCAUGGAGUGGUGCGUCUGCAGGAGAGAGGCAUGGUCAUCAGCCCCUGGAGCCUCAUGGCCACCAUCCUGCUCCAGAGCCCUGAGGGCCUAGGCUUGGACACCCUCACCCAGCGCACCACCUGGCUGCGGGAUAUCGUUCUGGACUGGGAUAUCGUUCUGGACUGGCCUGCACAGGUUUCUGAUGAGGAAGUGAUAUCAUCCAACAUAUCCCGCCACCGGUCGAUGGUUUGCUGUGAGGGGGGCCGAGUGCUUCUGAUAGAGGAGCAGGGUCCUGAUGGGGAGGAAUCCAUCACUCCAGAGACUGCCGUGUUCAGGCGUGCGUCCAUCAUGCUCAUGUGUGUCUCCUACAGGAACCAGGCACUGCACAUCUUUGUGCGGCCUGCCCUGGUUGCUCUCGCUAUAGCAACCACUUCCAGCACCAAAAAGGAGGAUGUCUUCACACACUUCAAAUUUCUACAGGAGCUUUUCUCCAAUGAGUUUGUCUUUGUGCCUGGAAUGGCUACUGAGGACUUUAAGGAGGGUUGUUCGCUGCUGGUGAAGUGUGGCGUACUUCAGGCUUCAGAUCAAGAGCUUGUUGUGAUAGAACAUGGUACAGACACAGCUUCCUUUCUUAGGGCCAUCCUCCAGCCAUUCUUAGAAACAUAUCAGGUAAUGGUGUCCCAAAUCCUGCACCUAAAAAGCUUGUCAUACAUUUUUUUGGAUGUGAAUUAACAAUUAACAAGCCGUUAAAGUGUAACUCCGGAGUAAAAACUACCUAGGGUCUAUUUACGGUAUUUAAAAACUUCAAACUUUUGAUUGAGAGCAAAAUUACAUUAAUUGGUGGCGUUUUGAGCAAGACCGUUUAUCACGUUUAUCACUCAGCAUUAUCACUGAAUGGGCUUACAGUGAUGCUAACAGGGCAAGGUGCCACUAUACUAUUUUAUACCGCUAACAAUGCUCAAAAUAUUAUAAAAUUUCUGUGGUAGUAUUGUGAGGGUUUCUACAGACAAACCAAAGUAUUUCAGUUCUUCAAAUCUGGCUAAACGUAAGGUAUGUUUGUAUUGAAUUCAGACUGAUCUGCGCAGUGUUGCAAGGUUGAAUGUGCCUGCUGAUUUGAUAAUACCGGACCAGGAAGCCAUACAAUUUUCUUCCUACAGAUACAGACCAUUAAAUCAACAAAGUCAUGUGACUGACCUGGAGGCCGUCCCGCAGUAAUAUAAUGCAUCCAGGGACACGCCUCUUCCUUUUUGCCUUUCAUCGCCUCAUCUGAGACCGGUGAGUGUGAUUUCCUUAGAAGCCAGUAAUCCACCACGUUAUUGUGCAAGUGCCUUGUGUCCCUGAGGAUUUAAACUGGUUUUCGCUUUGACAUUCGUUCUAGCGAGGGAUCUAUAUCCCCCAUUUUCGCUGUACGCAGCUGUUGAAUUGGUUGCUAUGUUCCUUUCCUAGCUACGUUCACGAAUAGGAUUGGAUGUUAUUUUCUCCCUUGGGGCCGAUGAUUCAGUGUUAACUCAUUGUGUGCAGCUGGGCUAGGUUACAUAGGGAGCCAUUUGCAGCAAUAAUGCAGUGGUAUUAAGUAUCUGUUACCAUCUGACAAUACUAUGGCGCCAAACACUUGCCCCAUUUGCGGCACUAUCAUGGACGUGCGUGAUGUACGUGGACGUGGACGAUGGACGUGCAUGAUGUGCUCCAUGUAUGGACAAAGUGCAUCUCAUGGAAGAUGUGGAAUGCCCAUGUCCGGCUGAUUGGUUUGCCAUUUGAGGAGUGUGCUCAGUGGUCUGGCCUGGGUGAACAUCCCCAUGCAGUGACUGAUCUUCUCCCACCUAUGAUAGAGAGCAGGUAAGUAUCCAUGAUCAUCACUCACGCAAACAGCAUUGCGAGCACUCCCAUGGGCAUAAGAGGAAGAGAAUCAGCCCCUCUCUCUAGGGAAUUAGUAGAGGCCUAUCUGAGGCCUGACAGACGUCAAAGGCAAUCGCUAAACGUAUCCAAACCGCCAUUUUUUAAUAAUGCUCAAAACACAGAGGUGACCGUAAGGUACAGACUUGUAAAACAGUUUUUAAUAAUCUCCCGGUACACUUGCUAAGUUCUUGAUGCUUCGUUUUAUGUGUAGGGACCCUAUUCAUACCACUGCAGAAGUGUGGUGCUAUUUUGAGCAUUAUUAGUGGUUACAAAAUGGCCGUUUGGAUACGUUUAGCGAUUGGCUAGCUCUCGAGGAGGUGUUCGACUUUCAUUCGUUGUCAUGGUGAAAAAGACCCUGGGUUCAAAUUACUCCGGAAUAACUCUUUAACAAUGAACAAGCUGGCAAAUGUUGCUCAUUUCCAUGUUACAAUGUGUAAAUAUGUUAUAGUGUAUUUUAUAGCCAAUUGUUGAUCUCGGCUGAAAUGUAACGUCUCCUAAUUGCCACUUAUGACUGAAACUCUGUGGUAGAUGGUGAAUAACUGUGAGACUGUGCUCUGCUCUCCUCUGAACAGGUGGUUUUCCGUCAUAUGACUGAGGAUGGUGUUGUGGUAUUUGCCGAGAAACAGUACAUACCUGCGGUCCGUUCUUACUGUCUGAAACUCAUCC